AUUGAACGCUGGCGGCAGGCCUAACACAUGCAAGUCGAACGGUAACAGGAAGAAGCUUGCUUCUUUGCUGACGAGUGGCGGACGGGUGAGUAAUGUCUGGGAAACUGCCUGAUGGAGGGGGAUAACUACUGGAAACGGUAGCUAAUACCGCAUAACGUCGCAAGCCCAAAAAGGGGGACCUUCGGGCCUCUUGCCAUCGGCUGUGCCCAGAUGGGAUUAGCUAGUAGGUGGGGUAACGGCUCACCUAGGCGACGAUCCCUAGCUGGUCUGAGAGGAUGACCAGCCACACUGGAACUGAGACACGGUCCAGACUCCUACGGGAGGCAGCAGUGGGGAAUAUUGCACAAUGGGCGCAAGCCUGAUGCAGCCAUGCCGCGUGUAUGAAGAAGGCCUUCGGGUUGUAAAGUACUUUCAGCGGGGAGGAAGGGAGUAAAGUUAAUACCUUUGCUCAUUGACGUUACCCGCAGAAGAAGCACCGGCUAACUACGUG
rnacentral:rRNA from 1 species